GAUGAACGCUGGCGGCGUGCUUAACACAUGCAAGUCGAACGAUGAAGCCCAGCUUGCUGGGUGGAUUAGUGGCGAACGGGUGAGUAACACGUGAGUAACCUGCCCUUAACUCUGGGAUAAGCCUGGGAAACUGGGUCUAAUACCGGAUAGGAGCGUCCACCGCAUGGUGGGUGUUGGAAAGAUUUAUCGGUUUUGGAUGGACUCGCGGCCUAUCAGCUUGUUGGUGAGGUAAUGGCUCACCAAGGCGACGACGGGUAGCCGGCCUGAGAGGGUGACCGGCCACACUGGGACUGAGACACGGCCCAGACUCCUACGCGAGGCAGCAGUGGGGAAUAUUGCGCAAUGGGCGCAAGCCUGAUGCAGCGACGCCGCGUGAGGGAUGACGGCCUUCGGGUUGUAAACCUCUUUCAGUAGGGAAGAAGCGAAAGUGACGGUACCUGCAGAAGAAGCACCGGCUAACUACGUG
rnacentral:rRNA from 1 species